rnacentral:rRNA from 1 species
CGAAUGCUGACGUGAGUAACGACAAAACGGGUGAAAAACCCGUUCGCCGAAAGACCAAGGGUUCCAGUCCAACGUUAAUCGGGGCUGGGUGAGUCGACCCCUAAGGCGAGGCCGAAAGGCGUAGUCGAUGGGAAAAUGGUUAAUAUUCCAUUACUUCUGUGUAAUGCGAUGAGAGGACGGAGAAGGCUAAAUCAGCCUGGCGUUGGUUGUCCAGGUGAAAGGAUGUAGGCAUGUAUCUUAGGCAAAUCCGGGGUACUCUAUGCUGAGAUCUGAUAGCAAGCUGUACUUGUACAGCGAAGUGGUUGAUGCCAUGCUUCCAGGAAAAGUCUCUAAGCUUCAGUUACACAGGAAUCGUACCCGAAACCGACACAGGUGGUCAGGUCGAGUAGACCAAGGCGCUUGAGAGAACUCUGCUGAAGGAACUAGGCAAAAUGGUACCGUAACUUCGGGAGAAGGUACGCUGUUGUUGGUGAUGGAACUCGCUUCCUGAGCUGACGACAGCCGCAGAAACCAGGCCGCUGCAACUGUUUAUUAAAAACAUAGCACUCUGCAAACACGAAAGUGGACGUAUAGGGUGUGAUGCCUGCCCGGUGCUGGAAGGUUAAUUGAUGGGGUUAGCGUAAGCGAAGCUCUUGAUCGAAGCCCCAGUAAACGGCGGCCGUAACUAUAACGGUCCUAAGGUAGCGAAAUUCCUUGUCGGGUAAGUUCCGACCUGCACGAAUGGCAUAAUGAUGGCGGCGCUGUCUCCAGCAGAGGCUCAGUGAAAUCGAAAUCGCUGUGAAGAUGCAGUGUACCCGCGGCUAGACGGAAAGACCCCGUGAACCUUUACUGCAGCUUGACACUGAACUUUGACCUUACUUGUGUAGGAUAGGUGGGAGGCUUUGAAGCUGGAACGCUAGUUCCAGUGGAGCCGUCCUUGAAAUACCACCCUGGUAAUGUUGAGGUUCUAACUCUGUCCCGUGAUCCGGGACGAGGACCGUGUCUGGUGGGUAGUUUGACUGGGGCGGUCUCCUCCUAAAGAGUAACGGAGGAGUACGAAGGUGC